rfam:Bacillus alcalophilus ATCC 27647 = CGMCC 1.3604 strain AV1934 contig00117, whole genome shotgun sequence.
AAAAAGAUCAAACAACCAUGUCGUAUAACUGCAGGAAUAGGGUCUGCGCGUUUCUACCAAGCUACCGUAAAUAGCUUGACUACGAUUUCAGUCAAUCAGUCU